UUCCAAGCUACAAAGAGCCAACGGUGGAUGCCUUGGCGCCAGGAGCCGAUGAAGGACGUGGGUGACUGCGAUAAGCCACGGGGAGCCGUCGACCAGGCUUCGAUCCGUGGAUCUCCGAAUGGGGAAACCCGGCAGGGGUAAAUGCCCUGUCACCCCGGGCUGAACACAUAGGCCCGGUGGAGGGAACCGGGGGAAUUGAAACAUCUCAGUACCCCGAGGAACAGAAAGCAACAGCGACUUCCUGAGUAGCGGCGAGCGAAACGGAAUCAGCCCAAACCGUUGUAGUGGUACAGCCUGCUGGCGAUGCUGCAACGGGGUUGUGGGGCCCGCUUGGAAGGGCAGCAGACCUUCCGAGGAGUUACAAAACCAAUGCUUAGCGGAACGGUUAUGGAAAUUCCGACCGCAGAGGGUAACAGUCCCGUACGCGAAAAGUAUUUGGUCUCCUUGCGGUGUCCCCAAGUAGCACGGGACCCGGGAAAUUCCGUGUGAAUCUGCGAGGACCACCUCGUAAGGCUAAGUACACUCUGGCGACCGAUAGUGCACUAGUACCGUGAGGGAAAGGUGAAAAGUACCCCGGGAGGGGAGUGAAAUAGUACCUGAAACCGUUGGCUUACAAACAGUCAGAGCGUCGUCACCGGUUCUACCGGUGGCCGUGAUGGCGUGCCUUUUGAAGAAUGAGCCGGCGAGUUACCGUCAGUGGCAAGGUUAACCUGUGAAGGGGAGCCGGAGCGAAAGCGAGUCUGAACAGGGCGUUCAGUCGCUGGCGGUAGACCCGAAGCCGAGUGAGCUAUCCAUGGGCAGGCUGAAGCGAGGGUAAGACCUCGUGGAGGGCCGAACCGACCAUGGUUGAAAACAUGGCGGAUGACCUGUGGAUAGGGGUGAAAGGCCAAGCAAACUCGGUGAUAGCUGGUUCUCCCCGAAAUGCAUUUAGGUGCAGCGU
rnacentral:rRNA from 1 species